CCUACGGGUGGCAGCAGUGAGGAAUAUUGGUCAAUGGGCGCGAGCCUGAACCAGCCAAGCCGCGUGAGGGAAGACGGCCCUAUGGAUUGUAAACUUCUUUUGUCGGGGAGCAAAAGACGCCACGCGUGGCGUUCCGAGAGUACCCGAAGAAAAAGCAUCGGCUACCUCCGUGCCAGCAGCCGCGGUAAUACGGAGGAUGCGAGCUUUAUCGGGAUUUGUGGGGUUUAAAGGGUGCGCAGGCGGAAGAUCAAGUCAGCGGUAAAAUUGAGAGGCUCAACCUCUUCGAGCCGUUGAAACUGGUUUGCUUGAGUGAGUGAGAAGUAUGCGGAAUGCGUGGUGUAGCGGUGAAAUGCAUAGAUAUCACGCAGAACACCGAUUGCGAAGGCAGCUUACCGGCGCUCAACUGACGCUGAUGCACGAAAGUGUGGGUAUCGAACAGGAUUAGAUACCCUUGUAGUC
rnacentral:rRNA from 1 species